CUGCCUCAACAGUACUGGACGCUGGAGGGCGUCCAUGAGGUGUUCGGCGACAAGGUGCGCAUCGAUCGGCUCGACAGCCGCACGCUGGAGCGCGACCACACCAAGACUUUCGCCUGCUGGGUGUGGGUCUGGGACAUGGCGUUCAUCCCCACCAGGCACACCUACUAGAAGCUCCCUCAGGGCGCCGGACGCAUCGAAGAAAUGGAGGGCCACUCGCCGCCCGAUCGGCGCGUCGCUCUGCCGCCGGGCGCCGAGCGCUACGACCUCCUCAUCCAUGUCAACAGGGUGGAAGACUGGUCCCCCCGCUCUCCGCGCUCCACUACUAGGAAAAGGCAUGCUAGUGGCGCACCAGUUUUGCCUUCUAAUGGCGCACUACUGGUGCGCCACUAG
rnacentral:rRNA from 1 species